rnacentral:rRNA from 1 species
CGUGUAGGCUGCCUCGAAAGUCGGAUGUGAAAGCCCUGGGCUCAACCUAGGAAGUGCAUUCGAUACUGCGAGGCUGGAGUCCUGGAGAGGAAGGCGGAAUUCUCGGUGUAGAGGUGAAAUUCGUAGAUAUCGAGAGGAACACCGGUGGCGAAGGCGGCCUUCUGGACAGUGACUGACGCUGAGACGCGAAAGCGUGGGGAGCAAACA